AAUAUUGCACAAUGGAGGAAACUCUGAUGCAGCGACGCCGCGUGAGUGACGAAGGCCUUCGGGUUGUAAAGCUCUGUUCUCAGGGAAAAAGAAAGUGAUGGUACCUGAGGAGAAAGGACCGGCUAACUUCGUGCCAGCAGCCGCGGUAAGACGAGGGGUCCAAGCGUUGUUCGGAAUCAUUGGGCGUAAAGCGGGUGUAGGCGGCUCUAUAAGUCAGAAGUGAAAGCCCCGAGCUUAACUUGGGAAGUGCUUUUGAUACUGUAGAGCUUGAAUGUGGGAGAGGAUCGUGGAAUUCCAGGUGUAGUGGUGAAAUACGUAGAUAUCUGGAGGAACACCGGUGGCGAAGGCGGCGAUCUGGCCCAACAUUGACGCUCAGACCCGAAAGCGUGGGGAGCAAACAGG
rnacentral:rRNA from 1 species